rnacentral:misc_RNA from 1 species
UCUCCGUUGGUGAACCAGCGGAGGGAUCAUUACCGAGUUUACAACUCCCAAACCCAAUGUGAACGUUACCAAACUGUUGCCUCGGCGGGGUCACGCCCCGGGUGCGUCGUAGCCCCGGAACCAGGCGCCCGCCGGAGGAACCAACCAAACUCUUUCUGUAGUCCCCCCGCGGACGUUAUUUCUUACAGCUCUGAGCAAAAAUUCAAAAUGAAUCAAAACUUUCAACAACGGAUCUCUUGGUUCUG